rnacentral:rRNA from 1 species
GACGAACGCUGGCGGCGUGCUUAACACAUGCAAGUCGAACGAGAUUUUUGUGGGAAUUCUUUCGGGUGUGGAGCUGCAAACAAAUGAGUAAACGGGGGAGUAACACGUGAGCAGCCGACCUUAAACUGUGGAAUAGCCUGUGGAAACCACGAUUCAUACCUCAUCAGACGAUAGAAUCGCAUAAGAUAGAGGUGAAUGAUUUAUCGGUGUAAGAAGGGCUCGCUACUGAUUAGAUAGGUGGAAGGGUAACGGCCUACCAAGGCGACGAUCAGUAGCCGGGCUGAGAGGAUGGACGGCCACAUUGGAACUGACACACGUACCGAACUCCCAGGAGAGGCAGAAGUGCGGACUAUUGCACAAUGGGGGGAACCCUGAUGCAGCGACGCCGCAUGAGCGAAGAAGGUUUUCGAAUCGUAAAGCUCUGUCCUAUGAGAAGAUAAUGACGGUAUCAUAGGAGAAAGACACGGCUAAAUACGUG